rnacentral:rRNA from 1 species
UGAGGGAAUAUUGGUCAAUGGGCGAGAGCCUGAACCAGCCAAGUAGCGUGCAGGAUGACGGCCCUAUGGGUUGUAAACUGCUUUUAUGCGGGGAUAACGUGCACCACGUGUGGUGUAUUGCAGGUACCGCAUGAAUAAGGACCGGCUAAUUCCGUGCCAGCAGCCGCGGUAAUACGGAGGGUGCAAGCGUUAUCCGGAUUUAUUGGGUUUAAAGGGUGCGUAGGCUGUAAGUCAAGUCAGCGGUGAAAAGUCGGGGCUAAACCUUGAGGGUGCCGUUGAAACUGACAUACUAGAAUGUGGAUGAUGCCGGCGGAAUGUGUCAAGUAGCGGUGAAAUGCAUAGAUAUGACACAGAAGGCCGAUUGCGAAGGCAGCUGGCAAAGGCACGAUUGACGCUGAGGCACGAAAGUGCGG